UGGCUAAUCUGAAGAAUCAAAUAUUGUGGUUGCAAAAGGAAAAUCAAAUACUUAAGAUGAAGGUCGAACAAUGAGCUCUAUAAUUUUCUGCACAUUUUUCAUGUCUUCAAUUUAUAUUUUGGCAUUUACUGUUAUUUUUAACUGUUUAUGGUUAUUUUGAAAUAUUUCCUUUUUUACAAAAUAAUUAACUUGAUACUUUUCCCAAGAAGAAACAUUGGAUUGAAUAAAGUUUUUUAUUUUAUUUUGCAUUAUGGUUAUAUAUUGUUAUUGAUUGAGUAAAGUUUUUCUUUACGUUUUUUGUGUAUUUAAUUAAAAUGUGAUAUACAAUUCCUUACACACAAGGAAGGUAGAAUAACAUAUUUUAACAAUAAAAUAACAGAUUUUGGCAAAUUGAAAGUUAUCCAAUAAAAUUAACUUACUCAAUAUAAGUAACUACCUAUUAUCGAAUUUAACUAAUAACUGAAAUCUGAUAAUAAAAACUAACAAACUAACUCAAUUGUUUAUCUAUAAGUAUUGGCUUCAGAAC
rnacentral:lncRNA from 1 species